rnacentral:rRNA from 1 species
GAUGAACGCUGGCGGCGUGCUUAACACAUGCAAGUCGAACGAAGCACCUUAUUCUGAUUUCUUCGGAAUGAAAAAUUUGGUGACUGAGUGGCGGACGGGUGAGUAACGCGUGGGUAACCUGCCUCAUACAGGGGGAUAACAGUUAGAAAUGACUGCUAAUACCGCAUAAGACCACAGCACCGCAUGGUGCAGGGGUAAAAACUCCGGUGGUAUGAGAUGGACCCGCGUCUGAUUAGGUAGUUGGUGGGGUAACGGCCAACCAAGCCGACGAUCAGUGGCCAACCUGAGAGAGUGACCGGCAACAUUGGUACUGAGACACGGCCCAAACUCCUACGGGAGGCAGCAGUGGGGAAUAUUGCACAAUGGGGGAAACCUUGAUGCAGCGACGCCGCGUGAGCGAUGAAGUAUUUCGGUAUGUAAAGCUCUAUCAGCAGGGAAGAAAAUGACGGUACCUGACUAAGAAGCACCGGCUAAAUACGUGCCAGCAGCCGCCGUAA